rnacentral:rRNA from 1 species
GAUGAACGCUAGCGGAAGGCUUAAUACAUGCAAGUCGAGCGGUAGGUGGCUUCGGCCAUUGAGAGCGGCGCACGGGUGAGUAACGCGUACAUGACCUGCCUGUCAGAAGGGGAUAGCCCUGGGAAACUGGGAUUAAUACCCUAUGGUAUUGAUAUUAUGAAUGAUAUCAAUUAAAGUUGAGGCGCUGACAGAUGGAUGUGCGUCUGAUUAGCUAGUUGGUAGGGUAACGGCCUACCAAGGCGACGAUCAGUAGGGGGCGUGAGAGCGUGGUCCCCCACACGGGUACUGAGACACGGACCCGACUCCUACGGGAGGCAGCAGUAAGGAAUAUUGGUCAAUGCCCGCAAGGGUGAACCAGCCAUUCCGCGUGGAGGAUGAAGGCCCUAUGGGUUGUAAACUUCUUUUAGAUGGGAAGAAAAUGCUAGAUGUAUCUGGUACUGACGGUACCAUCAGAAUAAGCACCGGCUAAACUCGUGCCAGCAGCCGCGGUAAU